GGGCUGCCUAUAAAAUGGUGAGUCUUGCAUGAGAGUCACUAGAUGUUGGCUUUUUCCAGGCACAGCAACUCUCGUGGAGCUUCUGUAGAAGAGGCCACACGUGGACCAAAAAGGUGAAGUGGUUCACAGCCCUGCUGAAGAGGAGCCAUGAAGCAGGAAAGCUUUUCAAGCUCUCCAGCAACCCCCUUGGGACCUCGCAAGACUGGCAGCUCUUCUAUCCCUGUGCUUGGCCAUCCUCGAUGCUGCCCCUGUCCUGCUCAGAGAAUAGCCCUGCCUUGGCACAACAGCAGGAAUUGAAAAGAAAAGGGCGGCGAUGGAGGGGAGAUCUUGCUUUUUAAUAAGCCUUCCACUGAUCCCUUCCUGCCUCCCCUUGUGCUGGAUCCAAAACAUACUAUGUCCUGCAGUUGCAAAGACCUACACUCUCCAUCCGUUGCAUCUGUGGAAAACAGUGCCAGGGAACUCUUUUCAGGUGGUUCAUAGUCUAAACAGAACCACUUUCGACAUUGGGGUCUGCUAAGGACUCCAAGAUUUCUUGUAACUAUUUUGCAAAGCUUGUUUGCAGAGGAAGGCUUCGAUCGUUUGAUAAGCUGUCAAGUUUCAGCUCUCAUUGAUGGGAAUCUGCUCAGCUGCCUUCAGAGGUUCCACCUUGACAGAGGAGUGUUCCAAGCCUAACACGAGGAGAACAAGACCAACAUAAAUGGCUUUCCUUAAAGAAUCUUGGGAACUGUAGGUUCCGGAUUGUAGCUGUGAGGGUAAACUACAGUUCCCAGGAUUCCCCGGGGGAAAUAAUGUGAUUUCAGUGUAUGGUGUGCCCAGCAGCUAGCACGCCCCAAGCCACUCUGCUCUCUUUCCUGUUGUGGAACUUCUGCUGUGAGCUGAAAUGGUGUCUCUUUGGAGGCAAGAGAGAGGGAGGGGCAUUUGCCACAUGCCAGAGACCAUAGAAAUGUAAGAUUGCUAUAUGGCCUUUGCAGUAAUUUUAUCAAAUUGUUUACUUUUUAAGCAGGAUUCUAGAUCACAAGGUCCAUUGAAGGUUUUAUUUGCUUAACUCAAAUGUGAGGCCCUCCAGAUGUUCUGGGCUACAUCUCCGAUCAUUCUGGAUCGCUGGCCUUGCUGGUUUGGGCUGAUGGGACACCAACAUCUGGAGGGCCAGCAGUUUCAUCUUAACUUUUUCUCUUUUAAUCUUUUUUUUUUGUAAUUUUCAGUUAUAUACAUUUCAAUAUUUUUACAGUCAUUUAAAUGUUUCAAGACUCUACUUUCUUCCUUGUCUUUCUGUGGUCCCACUGGUAAUCUUCACCAUCUUAAGUGUUUCUCAAUGGGAUAUUUGCCUCCUGCUUGGACCUUCUGUUAUAAAGGAAUAAUUACGAAUAAAAUUUCUUUGAAAAUG